GACGUGUUAUACGGGAUUCUUCCAAUCCCUAACGUCUAAACGGAAACCAUAUUGAGGAGCUGGUCCACCUGUAGGAAGAAUUGCGCUAUUGGUUGGAGCAGCACUAUUCCCCAGCCAUACACCAGCACUUAGUUUGUCAUAGGGAGCAUUUCUGAGCAGUUAUGGAGACCACUAACUAUGCAGUUGUUGCAGUGAAACUUGCACCAGUGUGUUUUCUGUCGAAAUAAAGAGAUAGUGUCCAGCAAUGAAGACCCAACUCAAGAUCUGACCUUGUAAGGCCAAUAUGAAAUAACUGUGUGGAAAAAUGGGAAAA